GGCUGGAACUGUGGCCGGAGAGAGGGGCUCAAGAGGAAUGGACUCAUGUGGUCUCAGUGCAAUGGGAUGAGGCACGUUCUCUUUGCUGAAGUGUACUUUUUGCUGCCGUUGGCAUUUAUCAGCAUGCACAUUUCUCCACUAACCCUCUGAUCUGUGCUGAGAAAACACGAUGAAGUCAUUGCGAGUCCCGAAAACAGGAAGGAGUCCGCCCUCCUUGCAGCACUCGGAGGGAGCUCUGCAGCCAGGAGGAGGCCCAAAGCACAAGUGUCUGUGGGCAAAACCUGACUCCUGCAAUCUGCCCGCAUGGAUUGGGCUGUUGAGCUCAGUUUUCAGCGGCAAGCUGAGGAUUGCCAUCCCUGCUUUCAUGAAGACCACAUUACACACCUUGCAGCUGGCUCUGUGGGAUGACCCACCUGCACAAAACCCCUCUGAAAGGGAAACACGUCACCCAGAGCUGUCCCACCUGCAGAGCUCUGGGUCCUGGCCAGGCACUGUGUUCCCUUGGGGGGUUUUGCAUGGCUGAGGAUGAGACUCUCCGUUGCAAG
ensembl:lncRNA